UACGUAGGUGGCAAGCGUUGUCCGGAUUUACUGGGCGUAAAGGGCUCGUAGGCGGUUUGUCACGUCGGGAGUGAAAACUCAGGGCUUAACCCUGAGCCUGCUUCCGAUACGGGCAGACUAGAGGUAUGCAGGGGAGAACGGAAUUCCUGGUGUAGCGGUGAAAUGCGCAGAUAUCAGGAGGAACACCGGUGGCGAAGGCGGUUCUCUGGGCAUUACCUGACGCUGAGGAGCGAAAGUGUGGGGAGCGAACAGG
rnacentral:rRNA from 1 species